GCGCCUAUAGCUCAAUUGGCAGAGCAGGGGCCUCUUAAGCCCAAGGUUGCAGGUUCGACUCCUGCUGGGCGCACUA
rnacentral:tRNA from 1 species